UACGUAGGGUGCGAGCGUUGUCCGGAAUUACUGGGCGUAAAGAGCUCGUAGGUGGUUUGUCGCGUUGUCCGUGAAAACUCACAACUCAAUUGUGGGCGUGCGGGCGAUACGGGCAGACUGGAGUACUGCAGGGGGAGACUGGAAUUCCUGGUGUAGCGGUGGAAUGCGCAGAUAUCAGGAGGAACACCGGUGGCGAAGGCGGGUCUCUGGGCAGUAACUGACGCUGAGGAGCGAAAGCGUGGGGAGCAAACAGG
rnacentral:rRNA from 1 species